UUGUCGCCCUCACCCAGCUGCUGCGGCGGAGAGACGGAGGCCAGCGCGGGGAGCGGAAGCCGGAGCCUGUCGGGAGCGACCCCGGGAAGGCCAGUCCCUCCUGCCGGAGGGAGGCGUGUUGGCGUGCGGCCGGUGGCGGGAUCGAUGGCCACCUGGUAGGCGAUGGUAAGCGGCAGUGGCCUGCGCCAAGGUAGCCCCCGGGGGGCGGUGUGUGGCGCCCGGACCCGCACCCUCUGCUCCCGGGGGUGGAGCUGACCUGCUUGCCCGCGGUUGGGCUCGGGAGCCUGCGGGCCGCGGCCAGGAGGGAGCUGGCUGGCCGUCCCGGCGGUGGGGGCUGUGGCGGUGGCCGUCCCGCGGGUGUGCCCGUGCUCGGAUCGAUGAUGACACCCACAAACGCAUUCCUUGGAAAAUCUGAACAAAAUGAGUGAGAACUCACUACCGUCUCCUCAUCGCAAACUGAGGUCCGGCACGUGGCUCCCACAGGGGACGUCGGGGGAGGGUCCCGUUGCCUUGGCUCCCUUGGCUGCUGCGGCGGAGAGACGGAGGCCAGCGCGGGGAGCGGAAGCCGGAGCCUGUCGGGAGCGACCCCGGGAAGGCCAGUCCCUCCUGCCGGAGGGAGGCGUGUUGGCGUGCGGCCGGUGGCGGGAUCGAUGGCCACCUGGUAGGCGAUGGUAA
rnacentral:lncRNA from 1 species